UUGUAAAAAGUGCAAAAGUUGAGUUCUACAUGUUAGAGGUGUCCAAUUGUUAUGAAACUUUAAAUUGGAGGUCCUUAUAUGGUAAUUAUACCAUUGGUAACUUGGUAGACAAAAAUGGACAUGAGAUAAGUGAAAUAGAAAAUUUUUAAGUUAGGGGCAAUUUGGUAAUCUAGUAAUUAAAAUGAAUUAAAAGGGAAAAAGAUGGCAAAAAUCAUCAUCUUCUUCAUUAGGACGAAAUCAGCAAGGGGGGAAGCCAUAGUUAGGGUUUUCAAGCUUCCAAGCUCCAUAAUCAAGAAGUACGAAACUCGAGGUUAGACAAAGGGAAGAAUAAAGUUGAAGACUAAGUUGGUGAAUUUGGCUAUAAUUGGUACCGAGUAUUGCAAAGCUACUUCAAGGAUCCUAAAAAAGUCGGAGAUCGUCCACACUAUCAACCACAACUGCUCGGUAUUUUAUAUCGAAACACGUUUGAGUUAUGGCAUGUAUAGGGAUUUAGUCAUUUUGUAUGUUUGUAAUGAUGAUUUUGCUAAUGAGUGAUGUGUAAGUAUUUGAUGAUGUAUGGUCAUUAAAAUGGUUAAGGAUGAAGGUGUUUGUUGUUAUGAAAGAUUAGGUGAUAAAUUAUGCAUGGAAAUCAUGAAAGGAUAAAAUUUUGCAAAGAAACAGAAUUCAGGCAGCAUAGUGACGUGAAUUUGAAAAAUCACCC